rnacentral:tRNA from 1 species
GGAGAGACUGUGGCUCAGUGGUAGAACAUCUGACACACACGCAAAAGGUUGUAGGUUCGUUCCCUAGCAACUCCA